rnacentral:rRNA from 1 species
GCGGACGGGUGAGUAAUGUCUGGGAAACUGCCUGAUGGAGGAGGAUAACUACUCGGAAACGGUAGCUAAUACCGCAUAACGUCGCAAGACCAAAGAGGGGGACCUUCGGGCCUCUUGCCAUCACAUGUGCCCAGAUGGGAUUAUCUAGUAGGUGGGGUAACGGCUCACCUAGGCGACGAUCCCUAGCUGGUCUGAGAGGAUGACCAGCCACACUGGAACUGAGACACGGUCCAGACUCCUACGGGAGGCAGCAGUGGGGAAUAUUGCACAAUGGGCGCAAGCCUGAUGCAGCCAUGCCGCGUGUAUGAAGAAGGCCUUCGGGUUGUAAGUACUUUCAGCGGGGAGGAAGGUGUUGUGGUUAAUAACCGCAGCAAUUGACGUUACCCGCAGAAGAAGCACCGGCUAACUCCGUGCCAGCAGCCGCGGUAAUACGGAGGGUGCAAGCGUUAAUCGGAAUUACUGGGCGUAAAGCGCACGCAGGCGGUCUGUCCAGUCGGAUGUGAAAUCCCCGGGCUCCACCUGGGAACUGC